rnacentral:rRNA from 1 species
UUUACCAAAUAUUCGCCAGAGAAUUACAAGCAACCAUGCUUGAAACUCAAAGGACUUGGCGGUGCCCACACUCCCCUAGAGGAGCCUGUCCUAUAAUCGAUAACCCACGCUAAACCCCACCAUCUAAGGCCAAUCCAGCCUAUAUACCGCCGUCGUCAGCCCACCCUAUUGAAGGUCCCAAAGUAGGCAAAAUCGCCAACUCACAAAAACGUCAGGUCAAGGUGUAGCUAAUAAGAUGGCAGAGAUGGGCUACAUUUUCUAACAUAGAAAACAACGGAAAAUACAAUGAAACAUGUAUUUAAAGGAGGAUUUAGUAGUAAAGGAAGACUAAAGUAUACUACCUUUAACCAGACACUGGGACGCGCACAUACCGCCCGUCACCCUCUUUAACACUACACUAACCCUAACAUAUUCCAACCAAUAAACCUAUUAGAAGAGGGAAGUCGUAACAUGGUAAGCGUACUGGAAAGUGCGCUUGGAAACAAAAAGUAGCUUAAAACUUAAAGCAUUCAACUUACAAUUGAAAAAUGUUACAUUAAACCUUUUUGAGCCAAACAUCUAAAGCCCGCCCACCCCAACAUACUCAACCCUAAAAAUUAAAACAAACCAUUUGAUUAGACAAGUAUCUGAGAGAGAAC